UACGUAGGGGGCUAGCGUUGUCCGGAGUUAUUGGGCGUAAAGAGCGUGUAGGCGGCCAGGUAAGUCUGGUGUGAAAACUCGAGGCUUAACCUCGAGAUGUCAUCGGAAACCAUCUGGCUAGAGUCCGGAAGAGGAGAGUGGAAUUCCUGGUGGAGCGGUGAAAUGCGCAGAUAUCAGGAAGAACACCAAUGGCGAAAGCAGCUCUCUGGGACGGUACUGACGCUGAGACGCGAAAGCGUGGGGAGCGAACAGG
rnacentral:rRNA from 1 species